CGCUCGCCUUUCGACAUACAGGCACGUGCCCAGGCUGCAAGUGGUGCUGAGUGCUGCCUCUCUCUCACACACACAGACGCACGCUAAUCGUUAAGGCUGCCUUUCAUUCUCUCGCGUCAACAAAUCUCUCCUCGCAACCGACCCCCCACCCUCCCCCUUCAUCUCCCCUAUCGCAGUCAUGGCGUCGCUGUGGAAGACGGUGCCUCUGCUGCUGACCGUGCUCGCACUGUUGUGCUCCAUCUCGGUGGGCGCGGUGUCGCAGUCCUAUGUGCUGGAGCGGCGUGUUGGCAGCGACGGCGAGUGGUCCAGGAUCGGUUCCUUCGCCAUCUCACGUCUCUCUUCUCAGGCACCAGCUCGCAUCUCCACACAGCUGGGCGGUGAGGUGAGCCUGAGCAUGGAGGAACGCAAUAAACUCGCCGCGGCCGACCUUGUCUACUACCGCGCGUACCCGAACCAGGAAGGCAAGCCGGCACCGAAGCACUCCACGACGGUCGUGGUCACGCCGUGCUCGCUGAUUCGCGGCUUUGAGGCCAUGGACAGCAAGACUGUGGUGCUCCAUGAGAACAUCAAUAUUGUCCCGGGCGUGAGCACCUCUCUGAUGGGUCUGCAAGUGAGCAGUGAGACGAACUUCUUCCACGCGAAGAUGCUGAAGGGCGAUGAGUGCGAUCGCAGCGUGGUGCAGAAACUAUUCCCGACGGUGCACUUGAACACCAAGGUCGGCCUCGUGCACCCACUGAAGGUGACGCGGAAGGUGCGCUACGAGGACCUCACCGCUCUCACGGAGACGGAGGAUGCGAGGAAGACGAUAGCGAGGCCACAGACAGAGAGGCGUAUGGUGCGCAACGCAGAAGGUGAGGUUGUCGAGGAGGAAGUUCCCGUCGAGGAGCGCUCCUUCUUGCAGAAGUACUGGAUGUACCUCGUCAUUCCCAUCGUCAUGUCCGUCCUCCAGAACAUGAAGGGCUGAAGUGGAACAGGACGACUCCAGGGUAGUUGAUUUCAAGCAUGGGGGAGAGGCAGCACGGUUGGCCCUUGCAUCCCUUCUCCCUGCCGAUGCCCCCACCGACCCGAACCACCGCUCGACUCUUCCUCCCUGUGUGUGUGUGUGUGUGCAUGUGCGUGUCUUCUUCUUUCCUUGUAUCAGCGAUAACGCCCUACUUGUGCGUGUGCGUGUGCCUCGCUUCUCUUUUUCUACUGGACGUCGCUGUUUUGUCUUUCUCUUCGUCUAUGCUGACCUCGCU
rnacentral:misc_RNA from 1 species